GGCGAAUUCUUUACCACUGAGCCAGCUGGGGAAAGCACUGUUAUUAUUCAUUGUCCCCUCCCCCUUGGCACAGAAAUUUCUGGAAAGGGUCUUUAGAGCAACCAGGGAUUCUGAUCCUACUUCUGCCUCUAAAUACAGACGCAGAUAGUGAUGACUCCUCACAUGCCUUCUUCCCCAGAGCAACCAGGAAUCAAACCUGGUGAUCUCUGAGCCUCAGUUUCCUUCACAGUAGAAGGAGGGGCUUGCACUCCUUGCAUUUCUGAGUUUCUUCUUACAAAAGGAUGCCUUUGAGGAGAUAUAAAACUGUUACCAGAAGAAGACUUCGGAUCUGACUCUGCUGAGAACCUCAGAAAGGACCAGGAGCUAACCGAGCACCAGUAGUCCCGUGUAGUGUCAUUGCCUCCUGGGAGCUGCAGGCUCUGCUUCUCACUGUGACCGAGUCUGCCAGGAAUAUGUCAGCCUCCAGAACAGGGUGGCCAUGGUGCAGGGCUGAGCCCAUGUCUCAUCAACCCAAACAGAGGAAGUGCUGUCCCAGCUGGGCCCAGACCAAAGGCCUGACCUGUGUUCCUCUCUCUCCCCUUCUCUCUCUUUGAUUUUUUUUGGUGUUUGUCUUUUUCUCUCUUUAAAAAUAUUUGGGACUUCCCAGUGUUUAAAAUUCCACACUUCCAAGGCAGGGAGUGUUGGUUUGAUUCCUGAUUGGGGAACCAAGAUCCCAUAUAGCUCAAAGUGCCAUGAAAAAAAAAAAAAAAGAAAGUUUGAGUGUACUGUUGUAAGCCCUGGGAUAUAGCAGGGAACAAGCCAUUUGGGGUCCCUGCUAAUACUUCUAAUACAGGAGACACACACAAACAAGUAAAUAAGACAACUGCAGACCUGGAGGACAUCUGCAAUUUAGUGAAAGCACUGAAACACGUCAUGUGAUGGAGAGGCCCUGAGUUAGCCUAGAAAAAGGGAGAAGUAGGGGUCAGGGAACAUCAAUGGAGAUUAACCCAUGGUGAAGGCCAAGGGAGAGCAGGGCAGGCUGGGUUGAAGGGGAGUGCUCAGAUGACGGCUCAGAUGUCAUAGUAACUUACACUGAAAGAACAACUAUGAUGGUUACAAACAUAGGCUCCAGACCAGACCUGGGUCCAGUUUCUGGUUUCACCCCCUCCCAACUACAGAGCCCC
ensembl:lncRNA